rnacentral:rRNA from 1 species
UACAGAGGUCUCAAGCGUUGUUCGGAUUCAUUGGGCGUAAAGGGUGCGUAGGCGGCGCGGUAAGUCGGGUGUGAAAUCUCGGGGCUCAACCCCGAAACUGCACUUGAUACUGCCUUGCUAGAGUACUGGAGAGGAGAUUGGAAUUUACGGUGUAGCAGUGAAAUGCGUAGAUAUCGUAAGGAAGACCAGUGGCGAAGGCGGGUCUCUGGACAGUUCCUGACGCUGAGGCACGAAGGUCAGGGGAGCAAACGGG